GUGGCCGUAGCUCAUUUGGCAGAGCGGUGGAACGAUGAUCCACGGAGUCCCGGGAUCAAGUCCCGGCGGUCGCU